ACAGUCCAUUACACAACCCUGCGAUUACACAACCUCUCUCUUCAUGAAUUAGCAAUUAAUAUCAUUAAUCUGCCAUUUGAAUGCAGAAUUCGACGUUCCCAAUCCCCCAACCGACGAAUCACAAACGUUCCCGUUUGCCAUUCCCACCUUCCCAUUAAAGAGAGGUAAACCCUAGCAACCAGAUUCCCCAUUCCAAAACCUGCAAUCACUACAACAUAACCGAAGCUAAUUUCUGUCCAGAAAUCUCCAAUCUGAGAAAAAAAACUUGAAAUUCAUUCAUGGCGAUGGCGAAAUACGAUCUGACACCUCGAAUUGCUCCGAAUCUGGACCGGCAUCUCGUGUUCCCGCUGCUCGAAUUCACUCAGGAGCGUGAACUAUACCCGAACGAUCAGAUUCUCAAAGCGAAGAUCGAGCUUUUGAACAACACUAAUAUGGUUGAUUACGCUAUGGAUAUUCACAAAGUCUCUGUACCACACGGAUUAUGUUCCUCAAGUAACUAAAAGAUGUUCAUAACCUUAGAGAUCUUGCUGGUAGUGAACGCCUUUUCCAAGAGCGGGUCAACCGGGGAUCGGCUAAAAGAAACUCAGGAGUUUGUCAUCACGAAGUGAUGACAUAUUUGACAUAGCAAAGAAGGAAGAGCACAUACCUUAU